GGCGGCGUAGCUCAGUUGGCUAGAGCAAUCGGUUCAUACCCGAUGUGUCCGGGGUUCAAAUCCCUGCGCCGCCACCA
rnacentral:tRNA from 1 species